rnacentral:rRNA from 1 species
GACGAACGCUGGCGGCGUGCUUAACACAUGCAAGUCGAACGGAAAGGCCCUGCUUUUGUGGGGUGCUCGAGUGGCGAACGGGUGAGUAACACGUGAGUAACCUGCCCUUGACUUUGGGAUAACUUCAGGAAACUGGGGCUAAUACCGGAUAGGAGCUCCUGCUGCAUGGUGGGGGUUGGAAAGUUUCGGCGGUUGGGGAUGGACUCGCGGCUUAUCAGCUUGUUGGUGGGGUAGUGGCUUACCAAGGCUUUGACGGGUAGCCGGCCUGAGAGGGUGACCGGCAACAUGGGGACUGGGAUACGGCCCAGACUCCUACGGGAGGAAGCAGUGGGGAAUAUUGCACAAUGGGCGGAGGCCUGAUGCAGCAACGCCGCGUGCGGGAUGACGGCCUUCGGGUUGUAAACCGCUUUCGCCUGUGACGAAGCGUGAGUGACGGUAAUGGGUAAAGAAGCACCGGCUAACUACGU